rnacentral:rRNA from 1 species
CACGUAGGGGGCAAGCGUUGUCCGGAUUUAUUGGGCGUAAAGAGCUCGUAGGCGGCUCAGUAAGUCGGGUGUGAAACCUCCAGGCUCAACCUGGAGACGCCACCCGAUACUGCUGUGGCUUGAGUCCGGUAGGGGAGCGUGGAAUUCCUGGUGUAGCGGUGAAAUGCGUAGAGAUGCGGAGGAACACCAGUGGCGAAAGCGGCUUUCUGGUCCUUAACUGACGCUGAGGCGCGAAAGCAUGGGGAGCGAACGGG